rnacentral:rRNA from 1 species
AUUGAACGCUGGCGGCAUGCCUUACACAUGCAAGUCGAACGGCAGCGGACCUUCGGGUGCCGGCGAGUGGCGAACGGGUGAGUAAAGUAUCGGAACGUACCUUUCAGUGGGGGAUAACGUAGCGAAAGUUACGCUAAUACCGAAUAUUCUGUGAGCAGGAAAUCAGGGGAUCGCACGACAUUGCGCUGAUUGAGCGGCCGAUAUCAGAUUAGCUAGUUGGUGAGGUAAAGGCUCACCAAGGCGACGAUCUGUAGCGGGUCUGAGAGGAUGAUCCGCCACACUGGAACUGAGACACGGUCCAGACUCCUACGGGAGGCAGCAGUGGGGAAUUUUGGACAAUGGGGGCAACCCUGAUCCAGCCAUGCCGCGUGAGUGAAGAAGGCCUUCGGGUUGUAAAGCUCUUUCGGCCGGGAAGAAAUCGCGCCAGUUAAUACCUGGUGUGGAUGACGGUACCGGAAUAAGAAGCACCGGCUAACUACGUGCCAGCCGCCGCAGUAACAC